rnacentral:rRNA from 1 species
GAUGAACGCUGGCGGCGUGCCUAAUACAUGCAAGUCGAGCGAACAGACGAGGAGCUUGCUCCUCUGACGUUAGCGGCGGACGGGUGAGUAACACGUGGAUAACCUACCUAUAAGACUGGGAUAACUUCGGGAAACCGGGGCUAAUACCGGAUAAUAUAUUGAACCGCAUGGUUCAAUAGUGAAAGACGGCUUUGCUGUCACUUAUAGAUGGAUCCGCGCCGCAUUAGCUAGUUGGUAAGGUAACGGCUUACCAAGGCAACGAUGCGUAGCCGACCUGAGAGGGUGAUCGGCCACACUGGAACUGAGACACGGUCCAGACUCCUACGGGAGGCAGCAGUAGGGAAUCUUCCGCAAUGGGCGAAAGCUUGACGGAGCAACGCCGCGUGAGUGAUGAAGGUCUUCGGAUCGUAAAACUCUGUUAUUAGGGAAGAACAAAUGUGUAAGUAACUAUGCACGUCUUGACGGUACCUAAUCAGAAAGCCACGGCUAACUACGUG